AGUAGCAUGCUCAAGACCCGAAGCGGAGUGAUCUAGCCAUGGGCAGGUUGAAGCGGCUGUAAGAGGUCGUGGAGGACCGAACCCACCAGGGUUGAAAACCUGGGGGAUGACCUGUGGUUAGGGGUGAAAGGCCAAUCAAACUCCGUGAUAGCUGGUUCUCCCCGAAAUGCAUUUAGGUGCAGCGUCGUGUGUUUCUUGCCGGAGGUAGAGCACUGGAUAGGCGAUGGGCCCUACCGGGUUACUGACCUUAGCCAAACUCCGAAUGCCGGUAAGUGAGAGCGCGGCAGUGAGACUGUGGGGGAUAAGCUCCAUGGUCGAGAGGGAAACAGCCCAGAGCAUCGACUAAGGCCCCUAAGCGUACGCUAAGUGGGAAAGGAUGUGGAGUCGCAGAGACAACCAGGAGGUUGGCUUAGAAGCAGCCACCCUUGAAAGAGUGCGUAAUAGCUCACUGGUCUAGUGAUUCCGCGCCGACAAUGUAGCGGGGCUCAAGCGUACCGCCGAAGUCGUGUCAUUGCAGUAUGUACCCCCAACGGGGACUGUGAUGGGUAGGGGAGCGUCGUGUGCCGGGUGAAGUCGCCGCGUAAGCGAGUGGUGGACGGUUCACGAGUGAGAAUGCAGGCAUGAGUAGCGAUACACACGUGAGAAACGUGUGCGCCGAUUGACUAAGGGUUCCUGGGUCAAGCUGAUCUGCCCAGGGUAAGUCGGGACCUAAGGCGAGGCCGACAGGCGUAGUCGAUGGAUAACCGGUUGAUAUUCCGGUACCCGCUGUAGAGCGUCAAACAUUGAAUCCUCUGAUGCUGAGGCCGUGAAGCCGUUCCGGAGCCUUCGGGCAAGGGAAAGUGGUGGAGCCGCCGGACCAAGGUGGUAGUAGGUGAGUGAUGGGGUGACGCAGGAAGGUAGUCCAUCCCGGGCGGUGGUUGUCCCGGGGUAAGGGUGUAGGCCGUGCGGUAGGUAAAUCCGUCGCACAUGGGGCUGAGACCUGAUGCCGAGCCGAUUGUGGUGAAGUGGAUGAUCCUAUGCUGUCGAGAAAAGCCUCUAGCGAGUUUUAUGGCGGCCCGUACCCUAAACCGACUCAGGUGGUCAGGUAGAGAAUACCGAGGCGUUCGGGUGAACUAUGGUUAAGGAACUCGGCAAAAUGCCCCCGUAACUUCGGGAGAAGGGGGGCCAUGUCUGGUGAUGAGUUUUGCACUCUGAGCUGGGUGUGGCCGCAGAGACCAGCGAGAAGCGACUGUUUACUAAAAACACAGGUCCGUGCGAAGCCGUAAGGCGAUGUAUACGGACUGACGCCUGCCCGGUGCUGGAACGUUAAGGGGACCGGUUAGUGCACUUUCGGGUGUGCGAGGCUGAGAACUUAAGCGCCAGUAAACGGCGGUGGUAACUAUAACCAUCCUAAGGUAGCGAAAUUCCUUGUCGGGUAAGUUCCGACCUGCACGAAUGGCGUAACGACUUCUCGACUGUCUCAACCAUAGGCCCGGUGAAAUUGCACUACGAGUAAAGAUGCUCGUUUCGCGCAGCAGGACGGAAAGACCCCGGGACCUUUACUACAGUUUGAUAUUGGUGUUCGGUUCGGCUUGUGUAGGAUAGGUGGGAGACUGUGAACUCUGGACGCCAGUUCAGGGGGAGUCGUCGUUGAAAUACCACUCUGGUCGUGCUGGAUGUCUAACCUGGGUCCGUGAUCCGGAUCAGGGACAGUGUCUGAUGGGUAGUUUAACUGGGGCGGUUGCCUCCUAAAGAGUAACGGAGGCGCCCAAAGGUUCCCUCAGCCUGGUUGGUAAUCAGGUGUUGAGUGUAAGUGCACAAGGGAGCUUGACUGUGAGACCGACGGGUCGAGCAGGGACGAAAGUCGGGACUAGUGAUCCGGCGGUGGCUUGUGGAAGCGCCGUCGCUCAACGGAUAAAAGGUACCCCGGGGAUAACAGGCUGAUCUUCCCCAAGAGUCCAUAUCGACGGGAUGGUUUGGCACCUCGAUGUCGGCUCGUCGCAUCCUGGGGCUGGAGUCGGUCCCAAGGGUUGGGCUGUUCGCCCAUUAAAGCGGUACGCGAGCUGGGUUUAGAACGUCGUGAGACAGUUCGGUCCCUAUCCGCUGUGCGCGUAGGAAUAUUGAGAAGGGCUGUCCCUAGUACGAGAGGACCGGGACGGACGAACCUCUGGUGUGCCAGUUGUCCUGCCAAGGGCAUGGCUGGUUGGCUACGUUCGGGAGGGAUAACCGCUGAAAGCAUCUAAGCGGGAAGCCUGCUUCGAGAUGAGUAUUCCCACCUCCUUGAGGGGUUAAGGCUCCCAGUAGACGACUGGGUUGAUAGGCCAGAUAUGGAAGCCCAGUAAUGGGUGGAGUUGACUGGUACUAAUAGGCCGAGGGCUUGUCCUC
rnacentral:ncRNA from 1 species